rnacentral:rRNA from 1 species
GCAAGUCGAACGGUAACAGGAAAGAGCUUGCUUUUUUGCUGACGAGUGGCGCACGGGUGCGUAACGCGUAUACAAUCUACCUUUUACAGGGGAAUAGCCUUUAGAAAUGAAGAUUAAUACCCCAUAGUAAGUAGUUAUGGCAUCAUAAUAACUUUAAAAUUUCGAUGGUAAAAGAUGAGUAUGCGUUCUAUUAGCUAGAUGGUGUGGUAACGGCACACCAUGGCGACGAUAGAUAGGGGCCCUGAGAGGGGGAUC